rnacentral:tRNA from 1 species
ACUCCCAUGGCCUAAUUGGUAAGGCUCCUGGCUUAUAACCAGGCUAUGCCAGCAGAUUACUGGAUGAUGCAGGUUCGAGUCCUGCUGGGAGUA